UAAGGAAUAUUGGUCAAUGGACGCAAGUCUGAACCAGCCAUGCCGCGUGAAGGAUGAAGGUCCACUGGAUUGUAAACUUCUUUUAUCUGGGACGAAAACGGGAUUUUUAUCUCAAUUGACGGUACCGGAGGAAUGAGCACCGGCUAACUCCGUGCCGGCAGCCGCGGUAAUACGGAGGGUGCGAGCGUUAUCCGGAUUUACUGGGUUUAAAGGGUGCGUAGGUGGGCUUAUAAGUCAGUGGUGAAAUCUCCGAGCCUAACUUGGAAACUGCCGUUGAUACUAUAGGUCUUGAAUUAUCUGGAGGUAAGCGGAAUAUGUCAUGUAGCGGUGAAAUGCUUAGAUAUGACAUAGAACACCAAUUGCGAAGGCAGCUUACUACAUAUAAAUUGACGCUGAGGCACGAAAGCGUGGGGAUCAAACA
rnacentral:rRNA from 1 species